GGAUCCCUACAAUGGACUAAAAAACGAGGUAGGAGAGGGAGGAGGACGGGGAGGAGGAGGAGGGAGAGUCCAAAAAAAAAACCCCACAAUCACCACUACACUCCAUCCUCCCCCUCCUGUGGACUCGUCUUUUUAGACUGUGGAUCCUAGCAGAUGAUAUACUUCAGGAUACUCUACCAUCCGAAAACGGAAAAGUCUUCCAGGGACAUGUCUCGUGUAGUACAAGGCGGUGUUUUACAUGGCAAAUCCGUAACCUCCUGUUGACUUGGAUGCUCGGAUGAUCUGGUUGUGCCUCUGCACAUAAACAAAUGAGAUUUCUGCGGGAUGAAGGAACGACGCUGAGCCGCAUGAAUAAUAGAACGAGUGCGGGAGAAAGACAGGCCAAGAGGCGCAGUGAACUGAAUGAGUAGAUGGGGGAAGGAGGAAGAGAGCACGGCUCCGACCGGUAGUGAUAGAGCACCAGGUGGGGGCCCUUUCAGCUCAAACUGACCUUGAAGGCAGCUGAUUAAAUUCCCACUUCCUCUCCGUGGGUUGCUUCUGCACAGCAAGGGCAGCAGGAGUUUAUCCUGCUUGCACCUCGUUCUACUCGGACAUACUCUUGGCAGUCAAUGUGCUUUUUGUUCCACCUCCACUCACACAGGC